GAAUGUGGUGUGAUACUAGUUGGUGCUGAAGACUAGUGAUAGUAAUGAUAUUCCCUACACCACCCUAGGUACAAAAACAGACAAAAGUCAAAAUAAAACCUUUGACCUCAGAUCAAACGUGAAAAAAAAAAAGUAAUUAUAGGAACUAGUUUUUGCAUAAAUUCCACAAACUUACAGAGCGUAUCAGUCUGCACAGAAGACUGUAAAAAGUAUGUAUAGUGAUACUCUGGUACAAACAUAGGAAGUCAAAACAAAAUACUCUGCCAGAUAUCAGAAGUGGGAAUAAAAACUACCAUUACAGGAACCAGUGAAGCAUUAUGUUAUACCAAUUUGUUUAGAAGAUUAUAGAGUAAGAUACUCUGGUACACAACAACAAAGUCACAACAAACCAGUUAACCUGACCUACCCUGAAUCACAAAAGGCAUGCUAAAACAGCGAGCCUAAAAUGGCAUAGCUAUUCAUUAUUUACUAAAGCUGAAAUAUUUCUUAUUUCGCUUCAGGAGGAGCUGGUUCUCAAAUUUUUUUGCAUCCAGCCUUGCCCGCCGUGGACUAAAAAUCAGCCCAGCUGUGCUAAAUAGGCGCUCACAAGCGGCUGAAGCUGAUGUCUUCAUGCUUGCAAAGAAGUCCUCAUCAUCUGAUGCACUGGAGCCAUUAGCUGGCAAUUGAUGUGAAGGGUCUUCCUCCAGAUGGUCCUUAAUGUAGUCCAGGCCUGAAAUGGACAUUUAAAUAAAUGCUAAAAAUCAA